rnacentral:lncRNA from 1 species
AUUGCAUUGGCAAUAAUCACUCUUUGCUUGCCAUCCCAAAUUUCAGCAAACAACUAUAUCUAUUCAUCCCCACCACCACCACCUAAGCCUUACUACUACCACUCUCCACCACCUCCGGUUCACUCACCUCCUCCUCCUUACCAUUACAGUUCACCACCACCACCACCAAAGAAGCCAUACAAAUACGCUUCUCCUCCACCACCAGUUUACAAAUACAAGUCACCACCUCCACCUGUGUACAAGUAUCCUUCUCCUCCACCGCCCGUUUAUAAGUACAAGUCACCUCCUCCACCGGUGUACAAGUACAAAUCACCACCACCACCACCUAAGAAGCCAUAUAAAUACCCAUCUCCACCACCACCAGUUUACAAGUACAAGUCACCUCCUCCACCAGUAUACAAGUACAAAUCCCCUCCACCGCCAGUUUACAAGUAUAAAUCACCUCCUCCACCAGUAUAUAAGUACAAAUCUCCUCCACCUCCACCAAAGAAACCAUAUAAGUACCCAUCUCCACCUCCACCUGUUUACAAAUACAAUUCANNNNNNNNNNNNNNNNNNNNNNNNNNNNNNNNNNNNNNNNNNNNNNNNNNNNNNNNNNNNNNNNNNNNNNNNNNNNNNNNNNNNNNNNNNNNNNNNNNNNNNNNNNNNNNNNNNNNNNNNNNNNNNNNNNNNNNNNNNNNNNNNNNNNNNNNNNNNNNNNNNNNNNNNNNNNNNNNNNNNNNNNNNNNNNNNNNNNNNNNNNNNNNNNNNNNNNNNNNNNNNNNNNNNNNNNNNNNNNNNNNNNNNNNNNNNNNNNNNNNNNNNNNNNNNNNNNNNNNNNNNNNNNNNNNNNNNNNNNNNNNNNNNNNNNNNNNNNNNNNNNNNNNNNNNNNNNNNNNNNNNNNNNNNNNNNNNNNNNNNNNNNNNNNNNNNNNNNNNNNNNNNNNNNNNNNNNNNNNNNNNNNNNNNNNNNNNNNNNNNNNNNNNNNNNNNNNNNNNNNNNNNNNNNNNNNNNNNNNNNNNNNNNNNNNNNNNNNNNNNNNNNNNNNNNNNNNNNNNNNNNNNNNNNNNNNNNNNNNNNNNNNNNNNNNNNNNNNNNNNNNNNNNNNNNNNNNNNNNNNNNNNNNNNNNNNNNNNNNNNNNNNNNNNAAAAGUGGUAACAUACACCUUGAGGUGCAUGUUGCUAAAACACUUAUUCUAAAAAAUAAGUGGGUGUACGUUAGCAACUCCUAUAAGCAUUUGCUAGAAUACACCCACUAAUUUUUUAGAAGGUGUGCUUUAGCAACUAUAAUAACUAAAAAGUGAUUAAAUACACUCUAAGGUGUACGUUGCUAAUGCACACCUUCAUAAAAAUGGGUGGGUGUGUUAUAGCAAAUCUCAUAUAUAUAUAUAUAUAUUAGUCUCAUUAUUAUCUUUAUACAAAUAGAAUACAAUAUUUUUAGUGUAUCUUUUUCUUCUCAUUUUUAUCCUUUAUAUAAAUUAUUUUAUUUAAAAUUUUAAAUUUUUUUUAAUUAAAUAAACAAGUUUUGAAAUAUCUAUACUUUUACCUAAAAAUAUACUGAAUUUUGAUGUAACAUUUUCUUUAAAUUUUACCCUUUACUUAAUUUUUUUGAAAUAUCUACCACUAUCUCACAUGUAUUGUUUUUGUGUGCCUAAUAAUUGAUUAAUAAAUGAUAUUAAUGUAUUUAUAUGUUUAUAUGCUUUUGUAGGAUUUGAGGAAUAUUGGAAAUAAAAGAGAACAUAGUGCAAAGCAGGGAAGAUGCAUUUCACAAUAAUAGAAGGAAAAAAAAAAGGAAGCAAAGUUUCCACCACGUAUUUCUCUCAAGAAAAGUCACUUUUUUUUUUCUUAUUUGUUUUGUUAUGUAUUAUGUAUUAUAUAUUGUCAUUAUUAGUAUGCUUGGAUUUUGAAUUUAGAUUGUAAGGCACUGUGUGCAAUUUCAUAAUGCACUUUGUUAAGGGGUUUCGAAGAAAAUAAAAUUUGAAUAUAAUUUCUGCUUCUCAGUCUUUGUAUAUUUAAUUAGAAAUUAUAUUCUACAAUAUAAUUAACUUUGUAUAGACAAAAACUUAAUGUGAUUUUAAUUAAUUAAUUAAUUAAUAAAUUUCAUGUUUAAACCAUUAUUUAAUUAGUCCAAAUGAUAAGGUCUUGGACCCCUUAAGUUAGUGGUUAUGGGAUAAAUUUAUGACUCUUACGUAUAAAAAAAAUUGAUUGGGAUAAGAAAUCAAUCUUAUAUGCGCUGCAAAUUCCUAUCAAUACCAGAUACUUUGAUACCACGUGACAAGAUUCAAACUUUCACCCGUAAUUCUUAAGUACGAAAAUUAAAUAUGCAAAGUAGGCUAAGUAUAUUUAUUGUAUAACAAAAAAUAUGCCGUAAAAAGCACAAAGAUUUUUAAUGAGCUUAUAAUUUAUUUAUACUAGUUUAUGUUUGUUUUGAUAAGUUAAUUUAAUUACUACUUCAUUCGGACACAAAUAUAAGAAAAAAUAAUCAUUUAUGCGGUGUUUAAGAAAUUUAGUUAAGUGUAGUUAAUUUUUUUGAUUUAAUGCAAAAUAUGAGUUAAAUUUAUUAUAUUACCCUUUGAAAAGUGAUUUAUGCCUUGAAAAUCACAUAAACUUUUGAAAAGUGAAAUUAUUAAAUAAUGGUAUAUUAGGAAUAGUAGUAUUAAUUAAUUUAAAAAUAGUUGAUUUUUGCUUAUAUUUGUGUCCAAAAUUUAAAGUGUUUUUUUCUUAUAUUUGUGUCCGGAGGGAGUAACUUAUAUAACUAUUCUUUAGUCUAAUUUUAUCUCUAUUAUCUUCCUUAACACACGCAUUAUAAAAAUAUCCCCAAAAUGGCAAUAGUUGUUGUUAUCUGAAGAGAUUGGGUAAUUGGCAACUUCUUGUUUUAGGAUAUCUCAAUUAAGUUGACAAGUUGUAUGUUCACCAAGCGAAUUUGUUUUUUAAUUUAUUGGAGUUGAGAAUCUAACCCAAAAUUGUUAACGUACUACAUAAAUAUCUUAUCAUUAGACCAAAUUUAGUGACUUUUCCUUGAUUUACUAAGCAAAACAACAUGCUCGCUUAUUGAAUUCUUGUACUAGCUACCUCAAGUUGAUCUUUUUCAUUCCAUUAAACAUGUUGCUUGCAGGGAUAACUCUAGCUUGACUAAAAUGACCUUUAUUGAUUUCUUCUUUAUGUUUUAUCAAUCAUAUUUAGUACAUACGAAUAACAAGAAAAUUACUAAAUAAAAGAUUCAUCUUUUUUUGGAUGAUAUAAAAAGAUUCUUCAAAUUAAUAGUUAUGGUAGGAAAUUAUAAAAAAAAAAAACUAUGCUAGGAAACAAAUUUGUUUCACGUUGAAAACUCAUAUUUUCUCAUGUUAGUUUUUUUUUUUUUUUUAUAGUCUACAUUCACCUUUUAAUUUAUUUUUUUAUAGUCUACAUUUCAUUGGACUCUCCAUUCACUUGGUAACAAUACACAUGACUAACAUGAGCAAAAGAUAAAUAUAAAAAUUUAGUUAUACAUAACUAAAAAAAUGAAGAAAAAAAAGUUAAUAAGAAAGCGAGGUAUAAAAUAAAAUACUCCCUUCGUUUCAAAUUACUUGACGUUUUAGAAAAUUUUAGUUUUUUCAAAUUAUUUAUCGUUUUGAUAAUUUAAGGUUAUAUUUUGUCUAUUAUACCCUCCUUUUUAUUUUAAAUCUUUUUAUUGUAUCUUUUUUUUUUUACUAAACUUCUUCGAAUAAUUUUUUUAUUGUUUUUUUUAAAAAAAUUGUUACAUAACAUAUUAAUUUUAUUGUAAAGAGAAAGUGUGUGAAAAAAAAAUAUUGGUGAAUUAAAAUAAGGGUAUAAUAGAAAAAUAAGAUGCAAAAAUACACUUUCUUAAUUUUUUAUUUAUUUUUUCUAAAACGUCAAGUAAUUUAAAACGGAGGGAGUACUACCUAAUGUCUUCGGAGCACUAAAACUAAAUAUAGUAAAUAAAUCUUGAAAUUUUUUUAUUUUACUUUUUAAAAUUAUAAAUAAUAUAUAUAUACUUGUUUUAGUGUAAAAAUUAUUUCUUUUACAUUCUUUAAUUAACUUAGUUAGGAUGACUUUGGGUAAAAAUGUAGAGAUAGCCUGAACAAACAUGGGGCUAAGGCAAUAUCUGACUCAUUUGUCAUAUUUACCUCAAGUUCCCGAAUAGAUAUUUUCCAUCAAAAUAUUAAAUAAUAAACUUUAAAUCAAUUGGUCCCCAAACCCAAAAUUAAAGUCAGCAUUUAAUAUUUAGCAUUCACAUGUAAAGACUUUUGGUUUAGGUUAGGUAAUUGUCCUACCUCUGGAAGAACAUUCAAAAGAGGCCAAAUGAUGAUAUUACUAAAUAAUAAUGUAAUGGCUAUUAUUCGAAUUAUUUUGACUCUUUGUGUGGUUUUUAGGUUUGUUGGUGUAACAUUCCCAUCAUUUGUUAAUAAAUAAAUGAAUCUCACUUAAUCAUCUUAAAAUUGAGGAUAAUAAGUAGUAUUAUUAAUAAUUAAAAUUGUUAAUAAAUAAAUGAAUCUCACUUAAUCAUCUUGUUCAUGAUCAUGCUAGUGUAUGCAUAGAAUAGUCUAAUGGUAUCAAUAAUUUGUCGCUAAAUGAUUGUUUUUGACCUUAAAAAAUUACUAGCUGAUCCAUCAAAUUUUAAUGAUUAUUUUGUUGAAUAAAAAUAAUUUUUUGAUGGACGACUACAGCAAGGACUUUAGCAGCAUUAUCUUUUGGCAGACGCAGCCCUCUUAUAAGUUAUGUCUCUUCAAAUGUAUGUCUUUUUCUAAUAAAAAAAUCGAUUUAAAUAAUCCCUCCAUACCUUAUAUAAGAUCAUUUAAUAAAGUUCAUGUGUAUUUAAAAAAUAAUUAUAAUAAUAAAUUUAUCAAAAAUAUAUACUACUAUAUAUUACAUAUUCAGUACCCCUACAAAUAUUGAUAUCGCAUAAGAUAGAGAAAAAUAAUUUACAUUUUUUAAUAAUAAAUUAAAUAAGAUAUAUAAAUUUUUGAAGUCUCAUGUAUUAAACGUAAACAAAGUGGAAAAUUGUUCAAUAAGACUUCUUGGUUUAGUUACCUUCUUUUUUAUCCAAUGAAUGAAAAGAUUUUUCUAUUUUCUAUUUAAGAUUUUUUAUCCAAUUUGACGUCUCGCAGACGAGUGGAUCAUUGGUCAAAUGUGACUUAUUUAAGAUUUUCGACUAGAUAUUCAACUUUUUGAAAAUCAUUGGCUUAAACCGAGGUCCUCUCUGUAAUUUUCAGUAUAUACGUUUAUAAGAUUUUAUAUAAAGUUUCCCAUUGUAUAACUUCACAAUGUUAAUAAAGUUUGGAUAAAUUUCGCUUAAUUAGCACCUUAGAUAAAUUUAGUAUUAAUAAAGUUUAAAUUUAUCUAUUUACUGAGUUUGAAUAGUGUAAAAUAGAAAGACCAAAAGAAAGCAUGAAUGAAAAGAAAGCCUUAAAAAAAUGUUAGCUACUGUUAUAAGGGUGGUGACGUUUAAUGCAUUAUUUAAUCAUGGUUACAAGCUAAGGAAGGUUAAAAGCUAAACCUUAUAGCUAUAUAAUGGAUUGGAUUCAACAUAGAGGUUUGUCGAUCGUCAUUUUUUAAAGCAAUUCCAAGUUGACAAUCGACACUAUAUAUUCACAGGACAUCCGACGAGACAACACUACAAAAUUUGAGUCUAUAUAUUAUUAAUACUCCCUCCGGAAUGGUUGAAUGUUAUAAUAUAUAUAUUUGCCGAUUCAAAAAAAAAAAAAUUCCCUCCGGUCCUUUUUUUAACCGUGGAUAUGUAUUCCCUACGGUUGCUGAAAGCUCAGUAAAUCCAUAUCCCAAUUUGUUGGAAAAGGAUUCCCUCCAGUGUGUUAUUCACUGGAGAGGGUGCAGUGGUGAUCAAUACCAUUAAAAUUUUAUCUUUUCAUGUUUUUCAUUUUUUUUUAUUUUCCAAUGAAAGGCCUAGAUUGGACUGGAGAGAACAAUUCACGGGAGAUAAUCCACUCCCCAAUUUGUUACAUCUUCUUAGUCUUUUCAAGCUUAAUUACAAUUACAUCGUCAUAAUACUCUCAAAAGUGUAUUUUACGAAUUUAGAUCCUCUCAUUUAUUCUCUUCUACAAAUUCUCUUCUUUUUUCUAUCUUUCACUUAAUUUUACUCCCGAGAAUCAAUUGAUUAUCUAUCAACCUAUUUAUUUAAUAAAUUAAAAUUAAUUAUUCCAAUUGUUUUAACAAAGUAUAACAAAAAAUAUGCUAUUAAAACAUAUACUAGUACUCUAGUAGUUUUUUCUCUUUAAAGUGAAUAAUUAUAUUACAUACAAUGUUCCGACCAACUAAACUAUGAUCAUAGGUAGGAUUGUUCAUGGUUUGGAUCAGUGAAAAAACUGAACCGAACCAUACUGAAAUGUCACAACAGUUCUGUAAAAUCGAACCGUUUAUAGUUUCUUUUGAAUUGAAUUGUCAUAAUAGUUGUUAUAACAGUUUAGUUAACCGGUUUAGUACUUCAGAACCGAACCGGACCAAAACCCGAAGAAUUGAACCAAUUUUGACGUUGGAAAAUUGAAACAAUAGAAAUUUGAAAGUUGUAUACUUGGUCGAUAGGGUGAAACUUCUCUCUUGAAGGUGGUAUAUGGCAAAAAAUCCUGGUAACCCUUGCUCCUUCUAUGACUGGGAGGUGCAACCUUCUUGGUGCUGGAGCCGUUAGAGUUUGUGUUGUGGCGAACCUCAGUCUUCAUGGUAUUCAUGGAGUUGAGGCCUGUUUCUUGUUAGGAAAUAACAACACUAAAGAAAAAUAAACACAAUAAAAAACACAAGAAUAUAAUGUGGAAACUCCAAAUCGGAGAAAAAAACCACAAACAGUUGUCUAAACCGACAACUAGAGAAAAAUCACUAUGUAGAAAUUAUUACAACACAUAGAUCGACUUCUCUCACUCUCACCCCAAUGCCCCAAUACAACCACACUCUCACAAAACAAAUAUUUAAACUAAGAGUCAGAUAUAAGCUUAAAGUGCUACUAACAUGUGCAAAUUAUAAACAAAGAACUUAGGUCCAUUAUAUAGUUUUGAUUUUCCCCUUGCUUCACAAUUCUAAGCGAUGUGGGACUUUCAAUAACUAUUUUUUAACCUCCUUCUUUAUUUAAGAAACUAGGCGAUGUGAGACUUAACAAUCAACCCCAAAAUUUCUUUCCUCCUUUUAUUGGUGUUAUUCUCUUUCUCUCCUUUUUGUUGGUGCUUAUUAUCUUAGGAGCCUCCUUAGGUGUUUUAUAUGUCGGAGCUUUUUAUACCCUUGCAUAUAUUUUGUCUGGGGUUUUUAGUACUUCUUGUACCUUCCACCCCUCUUCUGUUCUUUAUUUCUAUAUAUUAUAUAUAUUUUGCCAUGAAAAAAAAAAAUAGAAAGUUGAAAACAUCCAUUUUCUUAUUUCACGGCGAAAACCCAAAGAUUAGGAUCAAUCUCAUAUAUAAAUUAGGAUCAAUCUCAUCAGGGACGGACUUGGAGGGAGGCAAGCAGUGGCCAAGGCACCCCCUCCCCUUUAUCUACAUACACACAUAUACAUAACAUAAUAUAUCAUAUUAUAUCAUAUACCAUUUUUUUUAAGCAAUAUUAUAUCAUAUACCAUUAGUAUAUUAUAAUUUGUAAAUAUAUCUAUUAUUUAUCAUUUACAUUAUAUAAAUAAGAAUUUAAUUGAUAUGUAUUUACGGUGUAAAAUAUUUAUAUUGUCGAACAAUUAUAAGUGUUGAAUUAUUAAAAAUAUAGCCUUUUAAUAAAUAAAAAAUUAGUCGUUUCGAGUGGUAAGAGUUUUGAGUCUCUUAAGUGGUCAAAAGUUUCAUAUUUGGCUCUUUCGUAUGAACAAAUUUCGAUUGAGGGAAAGAACAUAUUUUUUGUGCCCCACAUAUUUCUCGGAGGCGAUUAGUCAUCAGUCACCAUUUAAAAAAAUUACAUGGACAUGUGUAAUAGAAAAUCUACAUUCAUUUUUAUUAUUAUUUUACUAUUUUUCGACCCCCGGUAUGAUAAGCUUCUGGAUCCGUCCCUGAAUCUCAUAUAUAGAAAAUAAAUUAGUUACCUCAGUUUUCACUUUUCACUGCUAAUUUGGUUUCUCAGGAUAUGAAUCAAAUAUUCAAUAUGCACAAAUUUUCACCGCUAUAAAUGAAUGAAAGGUCACACAUGGUAUAAUCAAUUGCAACAAACAAAUUCUAUCAAAAAAAUACUGCAACAAACAAAUUCUAUUUUUUCUUUCAAUUUUUGGUUCUUAACGUGGAUUCAGUUCGGUUUUUGUGAAUUGCUUAGUUAUUUUGGUUUGUUUUUGUGAAUUGCUUUUUUCAGUUCGGUUCAUACAGUUCGGUAACAGUUCUUAGCAGCUCGGUUCAGUUCGAGAACUGUGCUUUAAAUAUUGGUUCUGUUCGUGAACUUCUAUUUUGGUUCAGUUAUUUUCAGUUCAGUUCAAUACAUUUCAGCAGUUCGGGUCGGUUCAACGGUUAUUUUGACCACUCCUAAUCACAUGAAUAUAAUAUAAUAAUUUCUUUUGGCUGCCGGAUUUAUUAAUUAGAAGUAAAUUAACAAUGAAAUAGUUUGUAUAUUAUGUUGUCCACAGUUGUAACAUAAUUUCAAAAGACAAUUCGUUAUUUUCAAAUUUGAAAAUGAUAUACAAUGAUAAAGAUAUCUAAUCACUUUCAUAAAUAAAUUAAGAGUCAUGCAUAUUGCCGACACAAAUUAAGAAAAAUGAAAACAUAAUUUCUUAUAUUAAAAAUUGACAAAUUUUAAACUUUAGAAACAUCAUUUCUUAUAUUAACUAAUUUUUUUUAUGAUAAAAAAAGACAUGUAAUCGCCUAAACACUUUGGCUAAUUCAUAUAGUAGUAAUUUGAAGAAAAAUAAGUAUUGCAUGUUGUCAAAUUGUGUACAUCUAAGUUCUAAAAGUCAUUGUAAUAGUUUCAUCAAUAUAAGUCAUUCAUUGUAUGAGUUUCCACCAAUAUAUUAGUCAUUGUUUGUAAUUUGAGUAAACCUAUAUCUACUUGCCGUACAUAAUAAAAUAUAAUAUUGAUUAUUUUAUUUGUACAUGGACGAAAUGGUAAGUCAUUAUAAAUUCUCACACACAUAAAGUGGAGGGAUUGGGAUUCAAAUCCCGAUCAUAACGCUUGACCUAAAAUUUCGACAUUUCUUCCAAUUGACGUAGAAUUCGUGGACAAUAUAAUAUUGAUGGGAAAAGAUUCAAAACAACCUAAUUAUUUCCUCAUUUUAUUUCAGAACAACCUUAUUUUCUUGAUGUUACUUUAAUUUUCUUUAUUAUUCAAAUCACUUUGAAACCGCUUAUAUUAUGUGAUUUAAUCCUAAGUUUAAUUUAAUUGAACAAUCCUUGGUAAAUAUUAUUACUUGACGAUAAUUUAGUACACUUACUAAAUAACCAAUCAAAUGUUGGUGCCAUAGUCGGGGGGGAUUAUUGAAUUCGUUCAACAAUUAUAAUUUAUUUAGGAACUUAUUUUUCUACCAAUUAAAAUAAAAAUACAAAAAUAAUUUAUUUUUAAUUUUUAUUGUGCGGUGCUACUAGGGUAUUGUUUGCUUUGCGAGGCACUAUGGCUGAAGAUAACCCAUCAUCACCGCCACCUAGGUGUACUAAUGUACUAUGUGUGAAUAUUGCAAAUGGACCGACUCAGAAUAGGUAUCCUUUGGGUUCAAACAAGCGAAUCCUGUGAAUUUUGAUAUUAAAAAUAUUGUUAUGACAGGUUUAUGAUAGAAUUAGUUUGACGGUAAAGCUAUCAGAGAUCUUUGGGAACAUCUUUCCUCUAUAAGAUUUAAACUGGAGAAGAGGAAGUGUCCAAAUCACAACCUUAAUAGCGACAGUAAACUAUAAGAUUUUCAAAAACAUUUUUUAAACUAUCACUACAACAUUUUAUGGCUACCGCAACGCCUAAAUUUUUGGAUGUAAAAAAACCGUUCUCGUAGAAUAUCAAAGACAACACUUUUUGUAAACCGUUGCGAUAGUAUAUAGAUUUUUGUCAAUUGUUUGCAACAGUAAAAAACCGUUCUCAUAGAUACCAACAAGAACGGUUUUCUCUCUAUAAUCUACAACAACGGUUAAGAACAGUACUCAUAUAAUUUUAAAUUAUUUUAAUAAAAUAUGUUUUUCAUUGUUUUUUAUUUUGUGAAAUUUUGUAGAAAAACGUUUUCAUAGCCUAUUGCAACAAAAACGAUUUUCUAUCUGUAAUCUAUAACAACGGUUAAAAUUUGUACUCAUAUAAUUUUAAAUUAUUUUAAUAAAUAUAUCACUGUAUAAAUUAUUUGAAGAAAACAGUUUUUUAAUUUUAAAAAGAUUUAAUUNNNNNNNNNAGAUUUAAAAAAAAAAAACUUAUCUUCCCAAAAUCACCACACAAGAACGUGUAUUCUUGUUAAAAAAAAAAACAAACACUGCAUCUUUAACUUCCCCAAGAUGAAUAUAUACUGUUUGUUCUUGUUGAUUUCAUUCCCAAAAUCCCAAUUGAUUCUACUUCUCAUCUCGUUUCUUUUUGUCGCAAAAGUUUCUGUUUCAAUUUCAUCACCAAAAUUGAUUUCAUUCCCAAAAUCCCAAUUGAUUCUACUUCUCAGCCUCAUUGAAGGAAACAUGAUUCUAGUCUUCAUCUCGACAAAACGCUCUUCCUUCCUUUUUCCGAUUCUAUUCUCGCAAGGUACUCACUUUUUCCUCUCCUUUUUUUUCCAAAUUACGAUGAGAAUGGUUUUGCGGAUUUCAGUUUUGAUUUUAUUACGCAUUGUAAUUUUGAGUUCAGAAUUUGGCUAUUCAUGAGUUUGUGGCUAAACAUGUAAUUCUGAGUUCAAAACCAACACUUUUAUUAUACUCAUAUGAACUAAAUGAAUGAGAUUUUGUUUUCUUUUCUGAACUCUAUUAGAAAAUUGGUGGGCAAGGCAAACUAGCUCAGUUGUCCUAUUACCAUGGAUGGACAAAUAUACAGUCUGUUGAAAGCCACUUCACUUUAAAGCCAUUGGUCCACAAACCUAGGCCACACCUCAGCAAAGAAGGAAAAGUCAGACUUUAACAUUAUUCAUACUUGUAAAAAAAAAACAUUAUUCCCUAUUAUUUAUUUUUUGUUUUUGGACCUUCAAAUUUUUAUUUUUAUUUUUAUUUUUACUUUUUCUUUUAAUAUUAGAUAUUUAAUCCUUGUAAAAUAUAUAGUAGAUAUUUUAACAAAUUCCAAGAGACUAAGAAAAUAGCUAAGAUAAAAAAAAUUGUAUAUUUACUUACAUGAACCAAAAAUAGAUUUAAUUAAUCUUGUAAAAAAAUAAUAUUUAAUACUAUAAGUAAAGACUUUUAGUUUAGGUUUGGCCAUUUUCCUACCUCAAGAACAUCCAGAAGAGUCCAAAAAAUAAGGCUAAAUAAUUCAGAGGUCUUAUUCGAACUAUUUUGACUCUGUACGUAGGUUUUAGGUAUGUUUGGUGGGUAACCUACAGCCUUCAAUCAUUCCCAAAAUUAGUUAAAUGAAUCUAUCUAUCUAUCUAUCUUAAUUAUCUUAAUAAUUAAAAAUAAAUUGAGAAUCAUAUCUUGUUCAAGAUCAUGCUUGUGUAUGCUACAAUAGUUUCUUGCAUGGUAUUAUUUGUUCAUCGUUACUGUAGUGAAAUACGGAGUAAUUAUUUGCUUAUAAUAAAAUAAGAGUGCAAAAUGUACCUAUGAGUAUAAUUCAAUUAAUAGAAUUAUCAUAUUUUAUAUGUAAGAUAGUGUUGUAAAACGGUUUACUGAGUUUAAUAAAAAACAGAAAAACGAUUUUUUCAAAAAUGGCAACGAAACUAUUAUUGGCUGAGUCGCGUACUAGGUCGCUUUCUUUAAGACGUUUCGCGGAACUACUCGAANNNNNNNNNNNNNNNNNNNNNNNNNNNNNNNNNNNNNNNNNNNNNNNNNNNNNNNNNNNNNNNNNNNNNNNNNNNNNNNNNNNNNNNNNNNNNNNNNNNNNNNNNNNNNNNNNNNNNNNNNNNNNNNNNNNNNNNNNNNNNNNNNNNNNNNNNNNNNNNNNNNNNNNNNNNNNNNNNNNNNNNNNNNNNNNNNNNNNNNNNNNNNNNNNNNNNNNNNNNNNNNNNNNNNNNNNNNNNNNNNNNNNNNNNNNNNNNNNNNNNNNNNNNNNNNNNNNNNNNNNNNNNNNNNNNNNNNNNNNNNNNNNNNNNNNNNNNNNNNNNNNNNNNNNNNNNNNNNNNNNNNNNNNNNNNNNNNNNNNNNNNNNNNNNNNNNNNNNNNNNNNNNNNNNNNNNNNNNNNNNNNNNNNNNNNNNNNNNNNNNNNNNNNNNNNNNNNNNNNNNNNNNNNNNNNNNNNNNNUGUGAUAUUCGACAUUGUGUGUGGUCUCCCUUUCUUACAAAAGUGGGUACCCCAAGGGCACACCCUUGGUUGCCAACUUGUGAUAUAUAAACACUACCAAGUGGUGUGAUUUUUCCAAUGUGGGACUCAAAUAGUCUUUUUUCAAUUCACACUACACAUGGUUCUUACACUUGUGUUUAUUUCAAUACCAAGUUCCCUCCAAAUUCCUUCAUCAUGUUCCAACAGAUAGAGAUUCGAAUUCAGAUCUCCCAUUUAUUUAUUUUUCAAGAGGUGAAUUUCUAGCCAUUAGUGACAAAAAAAUAAUAAUAAAAUAAGAGUACGGGCAAAAUAUAAAACACUCCAAUUUAGCUCGUUUUAAUUUUAAUUAUGUUGUUCGGCGUUUUGCUAGUGAAGCGGCGUGUACUCUUUCUUAAUUGGUUUUUCGGGUACGUCUUAUGCUCAUUUUAGUGUAAUUAUAUAUUUUAGUUUUUUUUCUUCUUUAUAGACAAAAUGAAAGUCAUUAUAAAGUCACUUACAAAAAGUGAAGGAACUGGAGUUCAAAUCCGGUCAUAACAUUCGAUCUAAGAAUUUUGAUAUUUCUAUCCGUUGAAUUAGGAUUUAUGUACUAGUUAAUUAUUCUAUCUUUUCUAAAAAUUGUAUAAUUACACUGUCUUUACUAAAAAUACUUACUAGCUUACUAUAUAACGGUAAAACCUCUAUUAUUUUUUUCAAGUGUAAAACCCCUAUUUUAUCAUUCAUGCCACAGGUUAAUUUUUAUUUAUUUAUCAAGUAGUAUGUAUUUGUAUUGUAUAUAUAUAUAUAUAUAUACUAUUACGUUCUUACAAUACAUUUGAUAUAUUAUUAACGAAAAUGCUAACAAUAGUGUUUAGGACAUUCUUCAAAGAAUUAAAAAGUUAACUUUGUAUAAAAAAUUAUAAUAUUUUGUUAAAGUAAAAAAAUUAAAUAUAUAUUAACCAACCGAAUAGUCUCCCAGCACAAGGUGUGUCAAAAAAGACAACAAAAGUUUACAAAACCAUCAAAGCGAAGCAACAACAUGAAUAACAGAGUUAGUCAAUGCCCAAACAAGUAAACAGACUUGACCGCUAAUUAUGGUAGUUGAAACUAGAUUAAUUCGUUGUAUUCAACCACCAGUAGGAAUAUAGUUUGACGUUUUUCAAGAAUUGAGGUAUAAGGACAUUUUUGAAAAACCUAUGAUUUCUUUCGUUCCAAACACAUAAAAGGCAAAUGAGUUGCAGAAAGGAGCACCGCGCUCGUAGACCACCUAAUGAAUAAGUAAACCGAAGAAAAUAGUUUGAUAGAUUUUGAAUAAGCCAAUCCACGAUUGAACUAACUAUCAAAGGAAGUCAAAGAUGCUACAAGAGAUAAAUAAGUGUUGAGCUUAUUUUAUUUAUUUAUUUUUGAAAUGGCAAAAAAUAUUAUUAAUAAUAACCAGUCUCUGCACAAGACGAACAUAGGCCGGGAUAAACGGAAAUACAAAACAGAGCUGCCGUAUAUAAGCGGAACACCAAUGAGAAAGUUAAAAGACAUACACCACCUAGUACACACUCUACGGUCACCAUACCACCAAGAGCACACACCACAAAUACUAGACCACCAAAGAGGUGUUAGGAUCAAUUCAGUAUGCAGGCUUAGAAUUGUGCAGUCACAGUUAGCGUGGCCUGCAAGGCAACUGGGCUGCAAGCUUGUGCGCGCGCGUGGGACUUGGGCUUGGCUUNNNNNNNNNNNNNNNNNNNNNNNNNNNNNNNNNNAUUUGUAUAGUUAGUUAGUUUGUUGUAAAGUUAGUUACUUGUAUUGUGUGUUGGCCUAUAUAAGGGGCUUGUAUUGUGGUGAAUUAGUAAUGAAGCACGAUUAUUGCUUAACAAGAGGACCAUCAAACCGACCCAAAAAGAUGCCCUAAGACUCUAACUCCUGAUCUCGAAUCAAAAGUGAUCCGCCCAUCAGAAUACAAGGAACAACUUUGUGAGGCAAAAAUUAAUGGGACAACGACAGGAUGAAAACCUAGACAGCUAAGUCUCCAGCUCACGGUCAACACCGAUGCGAAAAUGGUUGACCAACUAACAGUUAAGUGUUAAGCUUAUUGUCAACAUUAUCGCAGCCAGACACAUAAGAGUGAGCUUCUGGAGUGAUAAUGUCUCACCUUAGCUUUUUCAACACACAAUCCCAAAACCACCCGCCUCCUACACCAUGAUGGAUUCUCACAAUCUCCUUCCAUCAAAAACCUCUUUCAAACACCUUCUCUCCUUUCCAUAACUAUAAUUAAAAUUACUUUUACCCCCUGCUAUCUGCAGUAAAUGCUUUGCAUAGGAAACUUUAAUCUUGAUAGAGAAUUUGUGGAUUUAUUUUUUAUGUCUUUUCAUUUUCAUAACAACAACGAUUCAAGGUGUCAAUUUCUUUGAAGAUUUUUCAUAACUUUUUCCGUGUUUGGAGUCAAGGUUGAAAUUAUGAGUUUGUUUUGUAUUAAUUAAUGAGUUUUAAAUAUGUUUUUUCCGUUUGAAAUUAAAGAUGUACAUCAUAUGAAUAAAUGAUGAACAAUCUGAUUUCCUGUUUUUAGGCUUUUUUUCUUUUUAAAUUUUUUGUUUAAUUAAUGUGUUUUAUAAUAGAAGCCACAUGGAAAUAAAUAAACUGAGAUAAAAAGCUAAUAAACUGAGAAAUAAUUAAAAAGCCAACUUAGCUUGCCACAUCACUUAUUUUAUACUGUCAGAUGUCACGAGAGUCCAAAAACAAAGUAUUUUCAAAUUAUGAAGAUGGCAUAAAAAUUACAGAGCAGAAAAUCAAAAUCCAUUCAAAUGACAUGACAUGGCAUAAAUUAAAGUAAAUUAAAUCCAAAAAAAUUAUUUAUUUAUUAUUAUAAAAAGUGUGGACUUAGUAAAAAUGUAGAAAUAUUAAUUAUAAAUAAUUUCUAAUAUAUAACUAUGUAAAAUGUGUUUUCUUUAUCUGUGUAAUUUUUUCAAAGUAUUCCUUAUAUAAAAUGGAUCGGGAAGAGUUUCAUAAUUUUUAAUAGCCACCAGAUUUGCUCCCCUGAUUGUUGUUUAUUAUUAUAUUUCCCCACCUAAGUUAGAACAUAAUUAUAUUUCAAAAUUCGUUAUUCAAAUUUGAAAAUGAUGCGAUGAUAAAGACAUCUAAUCACAUCAUCAUUAAGAACACACAUGUAAUCACUUAAAUACUUUGGUUAAGUAGAAAUUUGAUAGUGAAAUAGUACUCCGUUUGAAAAUAAUGUGCAUUCAAUUAAUCAAAGAGCUAUAUAUUUGAAAGUAAAAUAAUUAUUUUUUUUAUUAAAAAGUGAGUCAUUUUAAAACUUUUGUUAAAUCGACAUUCACUUAAAAAUUAAAUUAGAGAGAAUAGUUGAAAAAAUAGUACAGUAUGCAUGCUUCAAAAUUUUUAAGUAAACCUAGCUUACUUGUGGUGCAUAAUAAUUAACUGCGAUUUACAAAAGUCAGUGUAUAUAUGUUCCUUUCGCAAAAAAAAAAUAUGUUCCUUUCGCACAUAAUUAAUUAUUUCAUCCUUCUUUAAAUAAUUUUUUUGUUAUAAUAUAUUCUUUGUCAAAAACAAAAAAUAAUAUAUUCUUAGAUCAGGGCCGGCCCGAGGGCAAAGCGAUCCAAUAAAGGAUUUUAGACAUCACAAUAAAACUUAUUUUAGACAUCUAAUUAUGUUGGGUCGACCCUAUCUUAUGAUUUUAGAUAUUCACGUUAAUUUAAUCUCUAAGAAUUAGAUGUGUUGGCUCUUAGGUGUUGGAUUGGAGAGAUUGAAUCUAAAAAUUAUUAAGGCUAUAUUUAAUCUCUAAAUAUCACUCAAUCUAGCCUUAAAUAUUGAUCAAAUAUAUAUAUGAGUUAUUUAAUAAAUCUAAAAAAAUAAGUACUAAAUAUUUGUUUAAAAGGUCGAAAAUUCUUAUUACUUUAGAGGGAUAUACUACUAUAUAUCAGUCAUUUUAAUACUUAUAGAGAUACUAUACUAGUACAUAUAUGUCAUUUUAAAAACAUUAAAUAAUUCAAGAUGGGAGUAGUUUUGGACUCUUAAUUACGUGAAGAUUCAACCAAUUCUUUUUCUAAAAAAAAUUAUGACUUAAAAUUUUCUAAUAAUUGAUAUUUUAUUUGCGAUGGUACAAGCAUUGAUUAAAUUUCUAUCGUCUAACCUGCUCCAAUAUGAACAUAAUAACAUGGUACCAAAAAAACUAUGAACAUAACCUCAUAUACUGACUAGCUCCAUGCAUAUACUUUUCCACGUUAAAAAAAAGCUGAAUCAUAUUUCUAAUUAUUGGCAAUUUUUAAAUGCAUAACAAUAUCUCGUGGAUUAUACACCUUCCCGCAGACAUCAUCACGAUUGAUCAUUGUGGAUACUACCCCACAAAUUUAUUUUUCAAAAUUUAUAUUGCUCGAUAUAUUUUAAAUUCAGUCAUGAUAAUAAUUUUGGGAAAUGAUAUGUAUAGCAGGUAAAUUCUAAUAUUGACUACUUCAUCAAGUGGUCCAUGGUGGAACAGUCCUGAAUAGCAUUAUAACGAAUAUAAAUUUUACAAAAUUCACCGUUGGAUUGAAAGGUUAUAACAUAUAGAUCAUCCAUAGAAAAAUUUAGAAAAACUGAAAAUCAUUUGAUAUGUUAUUGAGACACAUCAAGAUUAACGGUUUAUUAGAUAACGUAAAUCUUGAUGGGUCUCAAUAACAUAUCAAAUGAUUUUCAAAAAAUUUUAAAAAAUUUAUGGAUGAUCUAUACGAUAUAAACUUUCAAUCCAACAAUAAAUUUCGUAAAAUUCAUAUUCGGUAAAUCACUUAUUCAUGGUGGACCACUUGUGAAGGUGGUCCACCUAACAUUAGCCAUUUAUAGCGAAAUAAAUUUCCCGAAUUUAUCACAAACAAGUGUGUAAGUUUUUUUUUUUUUUUUGACAAUAAACAAGUGUGUAACUUAUAUACCACUAUNNNUCCACUAAUUUCGGAAUUAAAGUAUGAAUAAUAUUGUAAUAUAAUAAUAAUUGGAAAAAACUUAGGUGUAGUAGCCUAAGUCAUGUUUCUACUGUUCCCAAUCAGAAUUUUACACGGAUAUUUUUUUUUUUCUUCUUUCUUUCUGCAACUCAUUGCCACGAAUAAUCGACGCCCACCCAACAUAGGAAUAGGAUACUUCCAUUCAAUCAUUCAUCCCACAAUAACUAACAAAGCCAAUCCAAUCCACUAACCUUCUCAUUUGUCAUGUUUUUCACAUCCAAAAAUUAACAAUACAUUUGCCAAAAUAAGAUUUUUACAACCCAUGAACAACCGUCAUUAGAGAUCACUGUAUUUUUCAUUGUUGUAAUUGUGCAGAUCUAUUGCAAGGUGUUUCAUUUAGUCAAACUAAAAAAAAAAUGAUUUUUUUAGUGCCCUUUAAUUUGAUUAGUGUUGGGUUUUGAAGAUUAUACAAAUUGAAACUGCAUAUGAAAAAUUAAUGUCCAAUCUCGAUCAUCGCCUUCUAUUCAUAAUUGGAGAAAGUGUUUUUAAGGCUGGGAAGGGGAAAAUAACAGAAUAAUCAAAGUUUAAUGAGUUGUGAAAUUAAAAAGAGAGUACACGUAUAAAAUUUUAAUUGGGAACACUAGGAACAAGACUUAGGGUACUGUAUCUAAGUUUUGUCCAUUAGAGAAUAAAUGGAGAGACGGAUCCGUAAACUUAUUAUACGGAUGCCUGAAAAUAGCAAUAUAAUAAAACUAUAUUUAUUGAUUAUCAAAAUAAAAUAAAACUAUAAUUACAUAAAAAUAUUAAUAUUUUCAUAAUAUGCUAAUAUAAAAAUAAUUAUUUAGAUCUUUAAACAUAUAUCUUUUGUUAGUCGGACUUGAGCAUGUGCAAAGGGGGCUAAAAAAGAUUGUCCAUUAACAAGGGCCGCCAUAAGUAUGUUCAAAGUGUGUUAUAUAGUCGGACAUCAUUUUUUGUGGGCUAAAAAAAUUAUAUGAUAGUAAAUAUGUAAAAAAAGAUGAAAAGAUUGAUUAAAAAAUAAAAUAAACACCCCAAUAUUUCUUUAAUCUAUCUUUAUUAAAAUGUAAUUUCAAAACCCAACACAAAGUGGGGCUUCAUAAAAUACAUAAAGUGAGCAAAAAAGAUAUAUUAUGAAGAUUUAUUUGAUUAAAAUAUUUUUUUUUUUGAGACAAAAAUAUAAAUAUUUUUUAUAUUAGUUAUAAGAAUGAUUAUUUUUUAUAUUACUAAUAUCAUUUGCAGUUUAAAUAAAAAAAAAAAUUAAUUUUUUUUUGGAUACAUUUUUUUAAAUUUUUUAGUGGUGUCUUUAGAAAUGAUGAUGCUAAGUUUUUGUAUUGUUUUGCUGGACCUUAGACAUUGUUUCUCCCUAUCUUGCUGAGUUGUGUGGAGCAAUGAGAGCUAUUGAGUUAGCUUAUCAGUGGAAUUUGAAGAAUUUAUGGUUGGAAACUGAUUCAGUCAUGGUUGUUUCAACUUUCAAUAACAUCUCUGAUUCUGUUACUUGGAACUUAAGAAACAGAUGGUUUAACAUUAGGACCCUGCUUAAUGAGAUGAACUGUAUUGUCACUCAUAUUCAUAAAAAAGGUAACAAAGUUGCAGACUUGCUUGCUUGUCAUGGUUUGUCCUUAAACGCUAUCUCACAUUUGAAUGUUGCUCCCAAUUUCAUUAGGGAUAGUCUUGCUAAGAACCAUUUAGGUCUACCUAAUUUUCGCUUUUAUUCUUCUUGAUGGAGCUUUUGGUUUAUGUCCUCUCCAUUUGUAUUCUGUUUCUCUUUUUAUAUAAUUUUUGAGUUGGUUUGCGUUUUGCUGCCGCUCAUUUGGUUUUUAAAAAAUAUAUAUAUAUUCAGAGAUGGGCUCAAAAAAUUAGAGCCGGCCUUGCUAAUUAAUAUAAUUAAUUAUAAGUGAAUAAAUGGUAUAAAACACACAAUAUAAUGUUUGAAUUAGUCACGAUUGCAUUUUUUUAGUGACACACAAUAUAUAAAACUUUAAAUUUCUAGUAGAUAAAACAACUUUAAAUGUCUGAUUCGGUCAAUAGUUGAGAGAAAUAUAACUGGAAUACAUCGAUAGAUAUUAAGUACGUGUAGGACAUUUUAAAAAGAAAGUGUAAGUAUUUUUUUUAAUAAGCAAAAGAAAUAUAUUAAAUUAAAUUAAGUAUAAGGUAUGCUUAAAGAUAAAAGUUCGUACACAACGAAAAAAACAAAUAAAGUGCAUGACCAUCCUAUGUUGAGCCUCAUACAAACUUUUGGAUUUAGUAUCAAUGAUUUAGAUCGGAACAAAAAUCUUGUUUCCUUGCUUUAAACCACCACCAGACUUGAACUUUGGUGGUAAUGAUUAACAUGCCAAUAGUAAUUGUCUUGUCAUUAAAAACUCUAUCAUUUCAAGCUUUUUAGAUACUCCAGAUUGAGGCUAACUAACUUGCUUGUAAACAACUCCUAAUAUUUUUAGAAAACCCAUGAGCCCCACAAAAUUGUGAUGCGAACGAAAUUGCAUUAUCAGGAAGAACACGCGUGAUCCCUAACCAGUAAAUGAUGUCACUCCAAAACGCACUAAAAUGGGGCAAUUCAGAAAUAGAUGAUAGAUAUCCUCAAUAUAUAGCAUCACAACCAAAUGAGCAUAACAGAAAAUCAUUACGUAAACAUCCACGAGCAAAAAGAGUAAACUUUGUGGGUAACCUGUCAUUAAUAAAUCGCCAAGCGAAAGUGGAAAUCUUUGAUGGUACAAGCUUAUUCCAAAUAAGAUCGUUGUGAGGAGACGUCUCUCUUGGAUACAAGUGAGUCAAAAGAUGAUAAGCUCCACAUACUGAAUAACCUGUAUCAGGAUUGGGAAUGUAUCAGGAUCGGGAAUUCACUCUCACUCAUCAGAAGAACCAAUCUGCAACACAACAUUAGCCACAAUAGUACAACAAUAGCCCCAUAAUUGUUCUUCCCAAGCAAACAAUUGUCUACGCCACUGCCACCCAUUCCCUGCUAACUCCCACCCGAGCCUAUUCAUAUCCGCCACAGUCACAUCUUUAUCUAAGCACAAAUCAAACAAUCUAUUAAAUUGAAACUUCAACGAAAUCUCAUCCACUCAAUUAUCCUUCCAAAAUAAAGUCAUUUCUCCAUACUCUAUCAUCUCUACUACAUUAUCACCAAACCACCUCUCACCUCACUGCCCACAUCAUUCACAAACAUAAUACUAUUAAUAUCAUGCCACCAACUAGAAACUUACCCCCAUCCACCUGGUCAUUCGACAUUCCAUAUUUAGCUGUUAAAACGUUAAACUACAAAUUCUCAAAUUCUUACAACAACCUAUAACACUACUUGCCAAGAAGAGAAAUGUUACUAGUCUAAAGAAAAAGAAGAGGAAGUGUAAGAAUAAUAACUAACGAAAAAGAAAUAAUUAUUUUAGUUGAGAUAAAAUAAAUAUAUUGAAAAAAGUAAUAGCCUGCCUUUGAAUAAGUAAGUAUGCUUUUUGGACCAAUGCUACCCAAGUUGGUUAUGUAACGCGGAUUUGGAUUUGAUAGAGACAUCAAUCUAUGCAUGAAUCAAAUUAAAGUAUUAAACAAUGGAAAAAAAAGUAAAGUAUACUCCGUAGCUUAUUAGCUGGAAAAUGUUGAUAUUGCUAUUAUUUUCUUUUCUUUAUACCGAGAGAGUAUCGGUACCGAUUACGUACCAGAUACACUGGUACGAGUAUUACUCUUUUCAUUUUAAAUUAUAAGUCGUUUUGACUGUAUUAAAUAAAUUAAAAAAUAUAAUUAAUAUUGUAAAAAAAGAAAAAAAAUUAAAAAAUAUAGUUUACAAAAUUGUUUUUAAUUAAUCAUAUGAAAAGAAAUUAAAAAAUUUAAAUAUAAAAGAGUAAUAAAUAAUUAUGGGUAUAAAAUAUUUCUUUUAAAGCAACUUAGAAUUUGCAUCAAUUUUUUUAAAGCAACUUAAAAUUUAGAACCCAGAGAGUAAUAAUUAUAUAUCAAUCAUUUUUAUUAUUUUCAAAACAAUUAUUUUAUCAUUUUGUUUGUAUAUACGCGUGGUCAUGGUUGAAUUAAUUAUUUAUGCAUAAACUUAUUAGAAAUACAAAUAAAACAAAUAGUUAUUAUUAGAAGGCCAUGUGAAUUAAUAAUAUGAUAUUAAUUUUUGGUAGAUGUUGAAAACUAGGUGAAUUGUAAUAGGUAUCAAAUCAGACUAAUGCUACGGUGGACCACCUUCACAAGUGGUCCAUCGUGGACAAGUGAUAGGUGGUUCAUCGUGGACAACCGAAUAUGAAUUUUACAAAAUUUACUAUUGGAUUGAAAGUUUAUAUCGUAUAGAUCAUCCAUAAAUUUUUUUAAUUUUUUUUGAAAAUCAUUUGUUGUGUUAUUGAGACCCAUCAAGAUUUACGUUAUUUAAUAAAUCGUUAAUCUUGAUGUGUCUCAAUAACAUAUCAAAUUGUUUUCAAUUUUUCUAAAUUUUUCUAUAGGUGUUCUAUAUGAUCUAAACUUUCAAUCCAACGGUAGAUUUUGUAAAAUUCGUAUUGUUAUAAUGUUAUUCGUGACUGAUCACCAUGAACCAUUGGAUGAAGUGAUCCAUAUUAGAAUUUAACAUCAAAUCAAAGCAGACCAACCAAGAUAAAAAGAUGAGAUAAUUUAGUAAAGAAAAAACUAUAUAAAGGGUUAUGCUGUCUUUCAAAAUAGCAGCAACAAAACCCACGUUGGGAAAACAUGGGGUCUCAAAUGGCCUCUAUUACUCUAACUAUUGCUUUGACAAUACUAUCUCUCAGCUUGCCAACUCAAGCAAACAACUAUAUCUAUUCAUCUCCACCACCACCCCCUAAGCCUUACUACUACCACUCUCCACCACCACCGGUGUACUCACCUCCUCCUCCUUACCAUUAUAGUUCACCACCCCCACCACCAAAGNNNNNNNNNNNNNNNNNNNNNNNNNNNNNNNNNNNNNNNNNNNNNNNNNNNNNNNNNNNNNNNNNNNNNNNNNNNNNNNNNNNNNNNNNNNNNNNNNNNNNNNNNNNNNNNNNNNNNAGUUUACAAGUACAAGUCACCUCCUCCACCAGUGUACAAGUAUAAAUCUCCUCCACCACCAGUUUAUAAGUACAAGUCACCUCCUCCACCGGUUUAUAAGUACAAAUCUCCACCACCUCCACCAAAGAAGCCAUAUAAGUAUCCAUCUCCACCUCCACCAGUUUACAAAUACAACUCACCUCCUCCUCCCUAUAAGUAUCCAUCACCUCCACCACCACCAUACAAGUAUCCAUCACCACCACCACCAGUCUACUCUCCCCCACCGCCAUAUAAGUACGCAUCACCUCCACNNNNNNNNNNNNNNNNNNNNNNNNNNNNAUCACCACCUCCACCAGUCUACUCCCCUCCACCUCCAUAUAAGUACGCAUCACCUCCACCACCACCAUACAAGUAUUCAUCACCACCUCCACCAGUCUAUUCUCCCCCACCUCCAUACAAAUACCCAUCACCUCCACCACCAACGUACAAGUAUCCUUCACCUCCUCCUCCUUACAAGCACAUAUCACCCCCUCCAACCCCUGUUUACAAGUAUAAGUCUCCUCCUCCUCCUGUCUACUCACCUCCACCACAUUACAUCUAUUCAUCCCCUCCUCCUCCAUACCACUUCUAGGUAGUGGUUUAUCACAUGGUAUGCUUACGACCUACACAAAACAUUUCAGAACUCAAUUAUGUUAUUUAGAUACAAAUAACAAUAAAAAAUUUAUUGGAGACAAAAAGAUAAAAGUGACCAUAAACGUCUCUAAUAUUUAGCCAUGUAAUUAGAAAUGAAUUUUUAUUCACUUACAAUUUUUGUUUUUCAACUUAGAAUUCAAAUUUGACAAAAUUUUAAUUGAUUGUUUUUCAACUUGUCUAUAUUUUAUCAUUGAAACAACUAAAUAAGAAAAAUCAAAAGACUCCAAAUCAUUAUCGUUCUUUUUUCUUUUUCUUUUUUAUAAGUAAAAUAGGUCCCACUUUUAUUUAAUUCAUAUACUUUUCUUACAGCUUUCAUUCCUAUAGUCUAAUUAUAUUUUGUGUGCCUAAAAUUGUUUAAUGAAUGAUAUUAAUAUUAUUUACAUGUGUAUAUACUUUUGUAGGAUUUGAGGAAUAUUGAAAAUAAAAGAGAGAACAUACUGCAAAGCAGGGAAGAUACAUUUCAAAAUAAUAUACAAGGAAAAAAACAUGGAAGCAAAGUUUGUCUCAAAGAAAAGUCCCUCUUUUUUACUCAUUUGUUUUGUUAUGAAUUAUAUUAUUAUUAUUCUUAUUAUUAGAGUGCUUGGUUUUUAAAAUUAAAUAAGGCACAUGUGUGUAAUAUCAUAAAUGCAUUUUGUUUUGCAACCUACGUACUACUCUAUAAGGGGUUGCCAAAAUAAAAUUGAAUAUUUCUUCUUCUCAGUCUUUGCAUAUAUUUAAUGAGAAAUUAUAUUCUACAAUUCUCCCGUGCCACAAUAACUAUUGCACUUUAAUUAGUAUUUUACUUAGAUUAUUAAAAAUUGAUGAAUGAAAGACAAAUAAUGACAAUUUUAUUAAAUUAUUCUUAUUGAUUAUUGAUGCAGUUGCUUUAUCAUAAAUACAAAGUGAAAUAAUAAUUUGAGAGUGAUUCACAUAUAUUAAUUAAUUAAUUAAAUAAUACAAUUAGAUGGAGAAAAACAAUUAAAAUUAAAACUAUACAUAUAGAAAAUUGAAAGUGACACUUUUACAAAUUUAUGACAAUUAUUUUAAGACAAUGAUAUGAUUAUAUGACAUGCAUUUCAUCCGCUAAAAAAUUAAGAAUUCAACAUGACAAUCAGUUUGAUUUAAAAACUGGUCAUAAGAUUGGACAAUAUAUAAAGCCAAAAACUUGACAAAACAUCAAUUAUUAUCUCGCUGAAUUAUGAGACAACUUUAUGUUCAGAGUAUCAAAAAUAUUAAAAUAUCAUUUUCAUUAAUUAUCUAUCUUUCUCCUAUACAUUUAUGUCUUGUCAUGUAUGUGCUAUUUUGUCAUGUCAUAUACUGUUAUAUCUGAUACUUACUGUUUUGCGAAUUAAAUGCAUCGUACAAUUAACUUCAAAAAGGGAGCUAGGGUGGAUUAGCUUAAUUUAUUUUUUGAAUGGUAAAUAUAUUAUAUAUUAAUAUAAAAAAUACAAGAGAAGGUUAAAAAAAGAAGAAAAAAAAAGAGGUACGAGCAGUACACUUCACUAUAACCCAACAAUUUCUACGGUAAGACAACAAAAUAAACAUGCAAAUAAAACUACAAGAAAACAAAGAUGCACACUCCAAACAAAUUACAACCCUUCAAAGACAAGAGAUCACCACGAGAAGAAGAAUAUACAUAUAUCUUAGGAAGAGAGAGACAAAGAUUGACCACAUGUAGGACAAAACAAUAAGAGGACCUUCAAUCCCCCUUACAUUAAUCUCAAAUGAUUAAUAAAAUCUCUUCUAAAACUAACUCUAAAUUAUUGAAGUCCCCUUCUUCUAAAAACCAGAUAAUCGUGCUCUCAAAUUGAUUUUAGUGUUUGGAACUUGUUGAAAAAACAGAUAGGUGUUGUUAUCAAUCCGAGCAGUAUAUACACUAUUUGGCAUUAACAACUUCUAAGUAUUAUUCAACAAGUUUGAAAAAUUUAUGAUGGUUUUUUCAUUUUGAAAGGUGAUGAAUUGGCGACGAAUGAAUUGUCUUUUCAUGAAGUUGUAAUUGUAAACAUAGAAAACAAAUUAAAUAUUAAAGUUAAAAGAAUUUUUUUUUUCUUGACAAAAGUUAAAAGAAUAUAUAUGAGCAGGUUUAAAUUUGUCUUACAAUUACAAAUGCUGAAUUUAAAUAAUUUUUUUGAAAAAAAAUGAUGCAUUUAGUUUAAGUUCUAAAUUAUUCAAUUCGAUGGGCCUUUAAGCACACAAACAUGUUAUGAGAUUUUCUUUUUGCACCUCACAAUCACUUCCGAUGUAUACUUUAGAAAAAGAAAAGCAUACUAUGUUUUUAGUAUUUCAGAAAUUUACUUCCAACAAAAAAUACAUAUUUUUCCCGAUUGAUAACAAAUAUUUUCCAGUAACUUAUUGAUUUUUCUUGGAUUACUCAUUUGUAGAUAAAACCGAAAUUUACAAACAUUUGAUUCAAUAUUGUUAUGUAGUGGACAAUAGUAAUUCUUUAAUUGGCAUCUAAUAAUACAUUUCUAGAUCCGUCUCUAAUCACUACAAGAAAUAUGGCGAUUUCCUAGAAAAAUUCCAAAAAAACAAACCAAAAUUCCUAGAAAAUGGUGGUUUCCGUGGAAAAAAAUCGUAAGUAUUUCAUGGAAAUUACCGAGGAACUAUGGCAACUUUCGAGGUAUUCAAUAAAAACGCAUAAAUCAUUAAUCUUCAUCGGUCUCAAUAACAUAUCAAACAAUUUUAGUUUUUGUAAAAUUUAACAUGGAUGAUCUAUACGAUAUAAACUUUCAAUCCAACGGUGGAUUUUGUAAAAUUUGUAUUCGUUAAAGCGUUAUUGAGCGGUGUAACAUUAGUCAAAUGUUUUUUUUGAAGAGGCUAAAUUAGCCCGCCCAAAUUGGCACCAGAGAGAAUCGAACCUCAGACCUCAAGAGAAGCACACUCCCAGGUUCCAAACCAAUACCAAUGCACCAACCCAAGUGAGUUUUCAACAUUAGUCAAAUAUUACACCAGUGUGAAUUUUUAUUAUUAUUUUUUUAUAGAAUAAUUUUUAUUCAAUAUUGUAGUUAUGAAAUUUAAGAUUUGAAUAUUUUUUAUUGACUGGGUUAGUAGUUAUGUGACCCAGUGAUCCAAUGCUUUGAUCGGAUCGAUCACCGGUCCGGGUUUUAAAACACUGAGAUGAAUAGGUGUUUUAAACAAUAUUGGCAUGCACUGCAUGAUUAAUUCAACCAUAAGUAAAUGCACUAAAUUACCUGUUGUGUGAUUUCGGUACCUAGGAUACGAAGGUAAGCAAAUUCAUAUUGCACUUACCGAAUUGGUUGGUCAAGAUGGGGCCUGGAAGUAUUAUAGGGGGCCUUAAAAAGCAAUUUUCAAGAACAAUUUGUUUGCAACAGAUCCAACCCAAACUGAGAGUAUUCUAAACUAAAGACCCAAUUUUUUUUCCCAAUUAAAAGUAAAAACUAGGACCUAACUCCAUUAUUCUUUUGGGGAGGAAUAAAUUUCAGUAGAAAAAAAAGUAACUAACCAAAAAAUUGGUGGUGCACAUGUUCACAGCGGCGGCAAGAGUCAACAGCAGGGCGGCAUAGUCUCGUCGACGGUAGGAACAUGGCAAAAUUUUUGUGUUGAUGCUUCGGUUAUGUUAAGACUUAAUGAAAAUAAUUAAUUAGAGAGAAAGACACCUAACACACUAUGAUACAUGCGAUUAAUCAGAUGAGUGAAAUUGACCUAAAGUCACCUAACUUUCUGCUAGAAAGUUAGAGAAUAAGGAUCCGCCAAUAUAACUAGUGUUUUUAUAUUGGACACUAAAUAUUUUCAAGACAAACUUUUUGAGGGGUUAAUUUAUGACAAACUUAAGAUCUUUAGGGGUUAAUUUAUGGUAAAACUGAGAUUUUUUGUUUAAAACUAUCAUAAACUGGAAUAUUUAGGAAUUAAAUUGGGGCAAAACUAAAAUUUUUGUUAGACUAAAAUUUUGUCCAAACUAAAUAAUAUUUCUAGCUCAGCCACCGUUUUUGCCUUAAUUUAGUAAUUAGCCAAUACCUCAAGAAACACUAUACUUAAGUAGCAUUCUUUAGAGUAAUUAAUAAAUUAGAGUUGAAGGAAAUUAUAUUUAUCUUCUCUAAAAAUAUUAGUACGAAUCGAACUUAGAAUUUCUCGGAUCAAAUAUCAGUUUUUAUUUUGGUAGAUUGUAGAUCUAUUUUAUUUUUUUUUAUUACUAGAUCAAACACUUAAAAAUGGAGAAUUUUAAUAUUAUGACACGAGUAAAAAAAUAAAGUGAAUAUGAAAUGACUUUAAUUAGAAAUAUUCAUUAUCAUUUAGUAAAUAAAUAAAUAUUUAUCAUCCAAGACUUUCUUGUGUGUGUAUUUGAAUUGUCGAAAAACUUUGCUUACAAAAGUACAAGAAAAGAUAAUUAAAUAAGAUUUGAGUCAUUUUCUUGCCAUGAAAAUAACUAAAAAAGGGUAAUGUCAACAUUAUCAGCUAAUUAUCUUCUGCUUAAUUAUAUUGCUAUCCCUAUUGCUAAUGCUACCUGUGUAUAUAUAAAACCAAUAAUAAUUACUGGUAACCAAUUACGGCUUUGCCAAUUUUUUAUUUUUCUUUUUUAAACGGCUAAAUUUUAUAAAUAAUGCAACUGAGCACAAGACGAGUACAAUCCGUAAAAUCAAGUCAUACAAAAACUCUUCACAAAUGAAAAAUUCCAACAACACCAAUGACAACCCCUAAAACCCUUAAAACCAUCCAUUGAGAACAACUAAAACAAAAACCUAUAAUAGUAAGAAGAAAAAAAAUCCACAAAGUCAAGCAGAAGCAGAUGCAUCAAAAUUAUUAUAAAUACUACGAAUUUUACAAAAUUUAUCAUUGUAUUGAAAAUUUAUAUCAUAUAGAUUAUCCAUAUUUUUUUUUAAAGAAAUCGAAAAUUAUUUGAUAUGUUAUUGAGAUCAAUCAAGAUUAACGGUAUUUAAUAAAAACUCAUGAACCGUUAAUGUUGAUAUAAUGUUGUUCAAUGGUAUUUUGUUCGUUGUCUUGGUAUAAUGUUUAUUAAUUUUCUGUCUUGUUAUAGAGUUUAUUUAGUUUAAAAUGUCGUAUCAACUUCGAUUCAUUAUAGAUUCAAUUAAUCAUUUUGGGUGUGUUGCAUAUUCAAAGACGGUACUAAUCUAGUCACUUUAAUUUUGUUACAUUUACUAUUAUUUUAUGCUAUUAAUUUAAAUGUUAUGUCGUAGGUUCAUACUUAUAAUUUUUACAUGCAAAAAUAACAUGAUUUAUAAAAUAAAAUAAAAAGUUGAAACAUUAAUAUGAUAUAGGAAAAAACUAUAUAUAUGGGUAACCUACCAUCCCUAAAAUCAUAACCAAAAUACAUUUUUAAGUGAACUAUAAGGGGGAGAAUGAGGUCUCCAACAAUGGCCUCCUCUUCACUCAUUAUUGUAUUAGCAGUACUCUCUCUAAGCUUGGCAUCUCAAAUCUCAGCAGACUAUGCCUCUCAUCCACCACCAUCACCAAAGAUUCCACCACCGGUUUACAAAUCUCCACCUCCACCAUAUAAGUACCCUUCUCCACCACCACCACCUAAGAAGCCUUACACUCCAUCACCUCCACCACCGGUUUACAAAUCUCCACCUCCACCUUAUAAGUACCCUUCUCCACCACCACCACCUAAGAAGCCUUACACUCCAUCACCUCCACCACCAACUUACAAGUCCCCACCACCACCUUAUAAGUACCCAUCUCCACCACCACCACCCAAGAAACCUUACAAUCCAUCUCCUCCACCCCCAGUUUACAAAUACAAGUCUCCACCUCCACCGUAUAAGUACCCUUCUCCUCCAC